CCUACGGGAGGCUGCAGUGAGGAAUAUUGGUCAAUGGACGGAAGUCUGAACCAGCCAUGCCGCGUGCAGGAAGACGGCUCUAUGAGUUGUAAACUGCUUUUGUACAAGGGUAAACCUGAAUACGUGUAUGCAGCUGAAAGUACGGUACGAAUAAGGAUCGGCUAACUCCGUGCCAGCAGCCGCGGUAAUACGGAGGAUCCAAGCGUUAUCCGGAUUUCUUGGGUUUAAAGGGUGCGUAGGCGGAUUGAUAAGUUAGAGGUGAAAUGUCCUAGCUUAACUCGGGAACUGCCUCUAAUACUGUUGUUCUAGAGCGUAGCUGCGGUAGGCGGAAUGUAUGUUGUAGCGGU
rnacentral:rRNA from 1 species